GAUGAACGCUGGCGGCGUGCCUAAUACAUGCAAGUCGAGCGAACAGACGAGGAGCUUGCUCCUCUGACGUUAGCGGCGGACGGGUGGGUAACACGUGGAUAACCUACCUAUAAGACUGGGAUAACUUCGGGAAACCGGAGCUAAUACCGGAUAAUAUAUUGAACCGCAUGGUUCAAUAGUGAAAGACGGUUUUGCUGUCACUUAUAGAUGGAUCCGCGCCGCAUUAGCUAGUUGGUAAGGUAACGGCUUACCAAGUCGACGAUGCGUAGCCGACCUGAGAGGGUGAUCGGCGACACUGGAACUGAGACACGGUCCAGACUCCUACGGGAGGCAGCAGUAGGGAAUCUUCCGCAAUGGGCGAAAGCCUGACGGAGCAACGCCGCGUGAGUGAUGAAGGUCUUCGGAUCGUAAAACUCUGUUAUUAGGGAAGAACAAAUGUGUAAGUAACUAUGCACGUCUUGACGGUACCUAAUCAGAAAGCCACGGCUAACUACGUG
rnacentral:rRNA from 1 species